AGAGAUUUUUGUUUCAUAAUUUGGGUGGAAAAAAAAACUUAUCAAAUUUGACCAAAAUAAUUGAACAAAUUAGCUUUUACAAGUUUUUCUCAAUUUGUUUUUUAUAUAAAAAAUGUUAAAAGUAAAAAAAUGAUAAAAAAUUACUAUUUUUGGAAAACAUGUUAUCAAAGCCCACUAAAGGCCCAAAUUCGAAAAUAGGCCCAUCAAAAUCUGAAACCCACACUCACCCGACCCGAUCACACACGAAUACCCGAAACCUAAAAUAUGCAAAAUCUGAAAAUAUUUUGGCGGAUUCGGUAUCUAUUUUACAAACUCAAAACCUGCAAAAAUCUGAACCCGAUAACUUUGAAACUUGCUAAUCCGGGCCGUUUACACCAGACCCUUUUGCUUUAAUGAUUUCUUCACCUUUCUCUCGUGUUUUUUUUUUACUAUUUUUCAGCUCAUUUCUUGCACUGACGUAAUUCUGUUUUUUUUUUUCUUUUUAACUUGCUAUAAAUACUUUCGACAUUCACAUCACAAAUAACAGCAGCAAAUAUCCCACCUUCCAGUAUAUAUUUUCAGAUUAUUCAUUUAUUUAUUUUUAUGCAAGGGUAUUCUUGUAAUAGUAGCAUUGGGAAAAAUAUAAAUUAAAUAAAAAAUACAUAGAAAAUAAGGGGAACGAACAGAGGGAUAUUUUAGCUUUAAAAUUUCUAGCUUUAGUCGAUUGGGGCUCUCAACCCCAAAUUUCAAAUCCUAAAUCGAUUGUUGCCCGGAUCCAAUUUUCGUUUACUCUUAAGGAAUUUCAUGUUGGUACAGGUAUAAGUUAUUUACGUAUUUUCACUUGGAAAAGAUCAAGAUGGGUUCAGCUGAGACCGAUUUCGAGGAUUUUUUUGAGGAGAAGAAACGGAUCAGGAAUCCUUUUGUUCCCGUUGGGGCGUUUUUGACUGCGGGGGUGCUCACAGCUGGGUUAAUAAGCUUCAAGCGAGGCAAUUCUCAACUGGGUCAGAUGCUAAUGAGAGCUCGUGUGGUUGUCCAAGGUGCUACGGUGGCGCUUAUGGUUGGCACUGCUUACUACUAUGGAGAUAAUCCUUGGCAAUCAAAGUAGACAAGGAAAUUCUUUUUGCAUAAUUUAAGUAACAUAAAUAGAAUAUGUGAUUAUAUUUUUCCCCGGUUUGA